GCUGGGUUUGGUAGCGUGAGCCUGUAACCCAAGUGGGAGCAUUAAAAUGGUGGGAUGGGAUGAUUGGCCUUGCCUUUGAAGGUGGGCUUUUGGGGUGCUAUUUACCGGCCUCUGCCCGUUCCAAGUGGUGAGUUGGGACGUGGAGUCUCUGUGUAGGCAGAGGCUUCUUUGGCCCUUAGACCGGAGGGUAUUGCGUCAGGCUGGUUUCACAGAGCAGCAAACACCUCCUCUUCUCUGUAGUGGAAGGAUAACAGGCCGGAGCUUCUUCAGUCCACUAAGCCUGAUGGGUUGUCCAAUUGAACCACCAUCUUU
rnacentral:SRP_RNA from 1 species